GACGAACGCUGGCGGCGUGCCUAAUACAUGCAAGUCGAACGCACUGGGGACGGGUUAGUAACACGUGGGUAACCUCCCAUCAGAGGGGAUAACACUUGGAAACAGGUGCUAAACCGAUACUGAUGGAUGAACCCGGGGUGCAUUAGCUAGUUGGUGAGGUAACGGCUCACCGAGGCCACGAUGCAUAGCCGGCCUGAGAGGAUGAUCAGCCACACUGGGACUGAGACACGGCCCAGACUCCUACGGGAGGCAGCAGUAGGGAAUAUUCGGCAAUGGGCGCAAGUCUGAUCGAGCAAUGCCGCGUGAGUGAAGAAGGUUUUCGGAUCGUAAAGCACUGUCGGUAGGGAAGCGGUAUCUAACGAGAAAGCCACGGCUAACUACGUGCCAGCAGCCGCGGUAAUUC
rnacentral:rRNA from 1 species